rnacentral:rRNA from 1 species
CACCAGCUUCACGAGUGGGAAUCGGUUUUAUUGGGCUUAAAGCGUCCGUAGCAGGUUUGGUAAAUUACUUGUGAAAUCGCAGAGCUUAACUCUGCGGAUUGCUUGUAAGACUGCCAGACUAGAGACCGGGAGACGUUAGAGGUAUUCAGGGGGGAGCGGUAAAAUGCGAGAAUCCUCUGAGGACCACCUGCGGCGAAGGCGUCUAACAAUAACGGGUCUGACUGUGAGGGUCGAAAUCUAGGGGAUCAAAUCG